AUGAACACAUCACCUGGAUCCUGCUGCCCACCAUCCAGUUCAAUUUCUGCUGAAUCUGGUGAAGGGAGACUUCUUCUGAGAUCAAUUCCCUCUUUGGUUUCGUUUCCACAUGUCGCCAGUUGUCCCUUAGCUCGCCGCGUCUUCUCAGCAAGCCGUGGAGACAAGACCAUGCAUCCAAAAUUGUUCCUGAUGGAGACACCACUCUGCUUGUUGCUACCUACAUCCCGUGGAAGACAGUGGGCACGGCCUUGCUAUAGACCCUGCAUGUUGCUGCGGCCGUGCUCCUGGCUACCUAGGCGUGCCCGUGCCUCUAGCUCCCGCCAGAAAAUUGGCCACCAUUGCAGGUCAGCUUCUCCUGAUGUGCCAGUCCAGCUGCGAAAAUGA
rnacentral:rRNA from 1 species